CCCUUAGAUGUUCUGGGCCGCACGCGCGCUACACUGAUGCAAUCAACGAGUGCCUCCUGCUCCGACAGGUGCGGGUAAUCUUCUGAAAUUGCAUCGUGAUGGGGAUAGAUUAUUGCAAUUAUUAAUCUUCAACGAGGAAUUCCUAGUAAGCGCAAGUCAUCAGCUUGUGCUGAUUACGUCCCUGCCCUUUGUACACACCGCCCGUCGCUCCUACCGAUUGAAUGAUUUAGUGAGGACUUCGGACUGGGACCGAUGCGGCUUUCGGGCUGCGUCGGUAUUCUGGAAAGAUGUCCAAACUGUAUCAUUUAGAGGAAGUAAAAGUCGUAACA
rnacentral:rRNA from 1 species